UGUGGCGACAUCACAUUAAAACACCAGUUCUCAUUUGAUCAUCAAAGUUAAGCAAUGUUGAGCCUGGCCAGUACCUAGAUUGGUCACCGUUUGAGAAUACUGUGUAC